rnacentral:rRNA from 1 species
AUUGAACGCUGGCGGCAGGCCUAACACAUGCAAGUCGAGCGGUAGCGGGAAAGUAGCUUGCUACUUUUGCCGGCGAGCGGCGGACGGGUGAGUAAUGCCUGGGAAAUUGCCCAGUCGAGGGGGAUAACAGUUGGAAACGACUGCUAAUACCGCAUACGCCCUACGGGGGAAAGCAGGGGACCUUCGGGCCUUGCGCGAUUGGAUAUGCCCAGGUGGGAUUAGCUAGUUGGUGAGGUAAUGGCUGACCAAGGCGACGAUCCCUAGCUGGUCUGAGAGGAGGAUCGGCCACAGUGGAACGGAGACACGGGCCAGACUCCUACGGGAGGCAGCAGUGGGGAAGAUUGCACAAUGGGGGAAACCCUGAUGCAGCCAUGCCGCGUGUGUGAAGAAGGCCUUCGGGUUGUAAAGCACUUUCAGCGAGGAGGAAAGGUUGAUGCCUAAUACGAAUCAACUGUGACGUUACUCGCAGAAGAAGCACCGGCUAAGUCCGUGCCAGCCGCCGCUGUAAAAC